GUAACUUUCAAUGGAUUAGUGAAGCACCGAUGAAAUUUUCCUCUCCUGUCGAAAGCAAUAUAAUGGCGAAAAAAAUAACUUGGAUCUAAAUAUGUUAAUGACACUGUCAAUCCACAAAACCAUAACACAUUACAUGAAAACUGCAGAUUAUUUGCUCAAGCAACGCAUUGUCAGCGUAACAGCUGAUAAAAAUUACAGCCUAAACUAUGUCCCCUUUGCAGCACUUUUUCUUAUUCAAUGCUAUCUCCAGUCCAGUGCUUCCUUGUGGCUGAGGCAGAUACGAGGAGAGUGUUACUUAAUCAGUAUACAUCUAAUAGGUGAUCCCUCCGCACCAAGCAACCUUAAGGGAAGACAGUGUACAGUGUACAAGCCAGCUUCUAUAUCAUCCAGCUUCAGCCCUUCUACUAGAAUAAUCUCCCUGCUUUUCAGGAAAACAUGAUGGGCAGGAAGCAAAUCAUCAAAAGCAG
rnacentral:misc_RNA from 1 species